AAAGAAAUCAACCGAGAUUCCCCCAGUAGCGGCGAGCGAACGGGGAGCAGCCCAGAGCCUGAAUCAGUGUGUGUGUUAGUGGAAGCGUCUGGAAAGGCGUGCGAUACAGGGUGACAGCCCCGUACACAAAAAUGCACAUGCUGUGAGCUCGAUGAGUAGGGCGGGACACGUGGUAUCCUGUCUGAAUAUGGGGGGACCAUCCUCCAAGGCUAAAUACUCCUUACUGACCGAUA
rnacentral:rRNA from 1 species